rnacentral:rRNA from 1 species
GAUGAACGCUGGCGGCGUGCCUAAUACAUGCAAGUCGAGCGAACGGACGAGAAGCUUGCUUCUCUGAUGUUAGCGGCGGACGGGUGAGUAACACGUGGAUAACCUACCUAUAAGACUGGGAUAACUUCGGGAAACCGUAGCUAAUACCGGAUAAUAUUUUGAACCGCAUGGUUCAAAAGUGAAAGACGGUCUUGCUGUCACUUAUAGAUGGAUCCGCGCUGCAUUAGCUAGUUGGUAAGGUAACGGCUUACCAAGGCAACGAUGCAUAGCCGACCUGAGAGGGGGGACGGCCCCACUGGAACUGGGACCAGGGCCCGACUCCUACGGGAGGCAGCAGUAGGGAAUCUUCCGCAAUGGGGGAAAGCCUGGCGGGGGAACGCCGCGGGAGGGGAGAAAGUUUUCGGAUUGGAAAAACCUGUUUUUAGGGAAAAAAAAUUGUGGAAGGAAACUGGCCACUUUUGACGGGAACUAAUUAAAAAAGCCCGGGUAACUAAGUG